AUUCCAGCUCCAAUAGCGUAUAUUAAAGUUGUUGCAGUUAAAAAGCUCGUAGUUGGAUUUGUGGUGUAUGCCGGCGGCCUGGUACUUAGUAUCGGAGCUUGCUUGCGUCGCCAUCCUUGGGUGGAUCCUGUGUGGCAUUAAGUUGUCGUGCAGGGGAUGCCCAUCGUUUACUGUGAAAAAAUUAGAGUGUUCAAAGCAGGCUUAUGCCGUUGAAUAUAUUAGCAUGGAAUAAUAAGAUAGGACCUUGGUACUAUUUUGUUGGUUUGCGCACCAAGGUAAUGAUUAAUAGGGACAGUUGGGGGUAUUCGUAUUUCAUUGUCAGAGGUGAAAUUCUUGGAUUUUUGAAAGACGAACUACUGCGAAAGCAUUUACCAAGGAUGUUUUCAUUG
rnacentral:rRNA from 1 species